rnacentral:tRNA from 1 species
AAUAUGUUAAUUCAAUGGUAGAAUAACGUGCUACGGACACGAAAAUAUAAGUUCAAGUCUUAUACAUAUUU